rnacentral:rRNA from 1 species
AUCCUGGCUCAGGAUGAACGCUGGCGGCGUGCCUAACACAUGCAAGUCGAGCGAGAUACAGAUGAACAGAGAUUCGUCAAAGGGGAUUCUGUGGAAAGCGGCGGACGGGUGAGUAACGCGUAGGCAACCUGCCCCUUACACAGGGAUAGCCAUUGGAAACGAUGAUUAAAACCUGAUGACACCUUGAGAUGACAUCUUCCCAAGGUCAAAGAUUUAUCGGUGAGGGAUGGGCCUGCGUCUGAUUAGAUAGUUGGUGAGGUAACGGCCCACCCAAGUCAACGAUCAGUAGCGACCUGAGAGGGUGAUCGGCCACAUUGGAACUGAGACACGGUCCAAACUCCUACGGGAGGCAGCAGUGGGGAAUAUUGCACAAUGGGGAAACCCUGAUGCAGCAACGCCGCGUGAAGGAAGAAGGUCUUCGGAUCGUAAACUUCUGUCCUUGAGGAAGAUAAUGACGGUACUCUUGGAGGAAGCCCGGCUAACUACGUGCC